rnacentral:rRNA from 1 species
CCUACGGGAGGCAGCAGUGGGGAAUAUUGCACAAUGGGGGAAACCCUGAUGCAGCGACGCCGCGUGAGUGAGGAAGUAUUUCGGUAUGUAAAGCUCUAGCAGCAGGGAAGAAAAUGACGGUACCUGACUAAGAAGCCCCGGCGAACGACGUGCCAGCAGCCACGGUAAUACGUAGGGGGCAAGCGUUAUCCGGAGUUACGGGGGGUAAAGGGAGCGUAGACGGUUCAUCCAGUCAGAAGGGAAAACCCAGGGCUCCACCUUGGGACUGCUUUUGAAACUGAGUAGCUAGAGUGCAGGAGAGGUAAGCGGAAUUCCUCUUGUAGCGGUGAACUGCGUAGAUAUUAGGAGGAACCCCAGUGGC